rnacentral:rRNA from 1 species
UACGUAGGUGGCAAGCGUUGUUCGGAAUUACUGGGCGUAAAGGGCGCGUAGGCGGCAUGGCAAGUCGGGAGUGAAAGGCCUGGGCUCAACCGAGGAACUGCUUUCGAGACUGCCAAGCUAGAGUGCGGAAGGGGCAUCUGGAAUUCCCAGUGUAGCGGUGAAAUGCGUAGAUAUUGGGAAGAACACCUGAGGCGAAGGCGGGAUGCUGGGCCGACACUGACGCUGAGGCGCGAAAGCCAGGGGAGCAAACGGG